rfam:Homo sapiens chromosome 10, GRCh38 reference primary assembly.
GCCGGGCAUGGUGGCUCAUGCCUGUAAUCCCAGCACUUUGGGAGGCCGAGGCAGGUGGAUCACCUGAGGUCAGGAGUUCAAGACCAGCCUGGUCAAUAUGGUGAAACCCUGCUUCUA